GAUGAACGCUAGCGGCAGGCCUAACACAUGCAAGUCGAGGGGCAGCACAGAAACAGCAAUGUUUUGGUGGCGACCGGCGGACGGGUGCGUAACGCGUAUGCAACCUACCUUUAACAGGGGGAUAACGGAGAGAAAUUUCCACUAAUACCCCAUAACAUCGAUCAAGGCAUCUUGAUUGGUUGAAAACUCCGGUGGUUAAAGAUGGGCAUGCGUUGUAUUAGGUAGUUGGUGAGGUAAUGGCUCACCAAGCCUACGAUACAUAGGGGGACUGAGAGGUAAGCCCCCCAAACUGGUACUGGGACACGGACCAGACUCCUACGGGAGGCGGCAGUGAGGAAUAUUGGUCAAUGGGGGCAACCCUGAACCAGCCAUGCCGCGUGCAGGAAGACGGCUCUAUGAGUUGUAAACUGCUUUUAAACAGGGAUAAAGAACAGUAUGUAUACUGUGUUGAAGGUACUGUAAGAAUAAGGAUCGGCUAACUCCGUGCCAGCAGCCGCCGUAA
rnacentral:rRNA from 1 species